rnacentral:rRNA from 1 species
CCUACGGGAGGCAGCAGUGGGGAAUAUUGGACAAUGGGGGAAACCCUGAUCCAGCGACGCCGCGUGAGUGAAGAAGUAUUUCGGAUCGUAAAGUUCUAUCAUCAGGAAAGAAAAUGACGGUACCUAACUAAUAAGCCCCGGCUAACUACGUGCCAGCAGCCGCGGUAAUACGUAGGGGGCAAGCGUUAUCCGGAGUUCCUGGGUGUAAAGGGCGCGUAGGCGGCAGCGCAAGUCUGGAGUGAAAUGCCGUGGCUCAACCCCGGAACUGCUUUUGAAACGGUAAAGCUGGAGUGCGGGAGAGGUAGGUGUAAUUCCUGGUGUAGGGGUGAAAUGCGUAGAGAUCAAGAGGAACA